ensembl:lncRNA
CUGUGGCAGAGAUGGCAGCACACAGGUACUCCUAGAAGCCACAACAUCUAUCCUAUCUUGGAAGGAGGCGGGAGCCAUGGAGGUGGCUGGGAGAGCAGCUUGGCCUGUCUAGGUGAAAGGAGACUGGAAACUAUAAACCAUUUCAUGCUUAUUUAUUUUAUGAUCCUCGUGGGCUGGGGUUUACACAAAUUGAACAACAUGUGGAUUAGAUAAUUUGCCAAGGAUGAACAGCCUCCUCCGAUGUUUAUCAGGUUUGGAGGCGAUUAAAGCCAGGUUGAUGAGGACGCUUUGGUGAUGAGUUGAUGGUGGAAUUCCUGUCAAGGAGACACAGAGGCUCCUCACCAAGCCGUAAAUCCCUGCAGGGGAUGGCACAGUGGAGGGGCUGGUCAGAUAUCAAGGGGAGAAGUAACUUUCCAGAUUCUGUUACAUCGCUGAGGGACAGACCCAAAGCAAACCAUAGGCAACUUCAGAGGUACCCUGUGAUAGUUUAGAAAACACUGGCUUCCUAGUGAGUCCAUUCCAAAGCACCGUUAAAGGACUAGCCAAAGACAAAUAACUUGAAUGUGAUCCUUUGCCUAAGGACAGUGGCAGUCAGGUUUUCCUCCAGCUUCUUCCAGAAGUCCUGGGGCCCUGACGUUCAUUUACAGUACCUCAAGACUCCGCAUGGAGAGAGGAAUGUGGGCCAGAAAUCCCAAGACAUUAGUCGGUGUCCUACGGAUAAAAUGGGGAAAGCAAUCCCCUUUUAUUUAUUUUAUUAUUUGCCAAUUUCAAAUAUUUUUCUUAACAAGUCACUUAGUUUAGAGAUUGGAAAUCCUCAUAGCCAAUGAAAUCACAGUUCUCCUUGGCUUCUAAGGAUACUAUUUCGAUGGAGUCAAGAGUUUUCCAAAACUGAAAAUAACCAGAGAAGCACACGACAGAAGGUUCCAGGUGCAUAGCACAGCCUUGUCUAUGUGCUGUGUGCCUCCAGGCAAGUCACAAUUCCUCUCUGAUCCCUAAUAGCCCACCCACCAGUAGGAAGUUGCAUUAAAUAAUCUCAGUGUGGGAGUGAAAAUAUUAGAAACAGGAAAAGAACCAUUUGUCUUUGUUUCCUUUUUAUGAGUUGUGUUUCAGAUCAGCCAGGCUGGUGUUCCUAUUUAUUUCAGAGGCCGCUCAACCAAAAAUUGCUGUUUUCAUGGCUCUCAGUUUUGAUUUCCGAUGCUAAACAGAAAAACCACGACCCCAAACUUCCUAGACUGUUGGCUGUGGCUGUUGUACACAUUUUCCAGUGGUGUGGGUAGAUCGUAGUGAAACAAGGGACAAACGCCUGCUCGGUUCUGAAGGAUAUCAGGAAAGAAAUGCUUAAAUGAGUAAAUGAUGCAGCGACUGGGGGAUCAACAGACCACACGGUCUAACUUGGUUUCUCUUUAAAAGUGGAGGAGAGCUAGGAAAAAUAUCAAGGUUGUCUUCUCCUAAACACAGUCCCCAGCCAGCCUGAUUUUGAAGCACGGCAUUGGGCGAUACUGUGCUCCAUAUGCUUCUCAGCUCACAGGGACCACUGAUGCUGGUUCUGGGGUUUGGAGCAGUAGGGCUGAGGGGAUCGGUUGGCCUUUACAAAGGGACAAGGACAACAUUCCAUUUAUGAACAAACCCCUUUCACUGUAGGCCUAGAAGGUCACGGAGGGUGUGCACAGGGUGAAUGGGGUGGGGGUGAGGGUUCUCUGUCACUGUCCCCCUGGAAGUCAGUAGGCCUGUCAUGCCAGCAGUUAGUCAAAGAUGCACGAGAGUGAUGGGGCUGUGGCAGUCCUGACAGACCAUGGGCAAGAUCACAGGUCUCGGCUCAGCCACCAGGAUGAACAGGUAGUGAGGGCUGCCCUGCAAGGCUCGCUGACAGGUGCUGUGUGGUACACUGGCUCCUUAGCCUGAAGACUCCAAAAGUAUGACGUGUCCUUCUGUGGUGAUGAGGAUGGGAUUUAGUCACAAAGUCACUGCAUCUAUCUGGAAUUCCAGAUGAGCUUUGGGACAUGAUGGCGGGACCCCUCUCAGUUAGUUUGGCUGCGGCACCUCCAGCACAGAUCAAAUCCAGCUACCUCAGCCACACAGCUGACCGUCCUAGAUAAAUGGCCACAUUUUCUGCUCCAUAGCAAGACAUAGGUUCAGACAGACAACUCAUGGGAAUGACAAAGCAGUAUGGUAUGUUACCAAAAUGGAACGGGGAGAAGGCAUCAGAAAACAGUAUCAGUUCAGCUUUUCUUUUUAAUUGCUGUGUAGCUGAACAUAGAAGUUCAUGCUGUAAUCCCAGCACUUAGUAAGCUAAGAGAGCAGAAUUAGCACAACUUGGAGGCCAGCCUGGGUUGCAUAGAAAAACCCUGUCUCAAGUGAAACAGAAAACAGCCACCCAGCGCAGCUUCCUGGGUGGCUACAUGAGGAAACAACGAGUCAUUUCAUGGGUGCAACUGCCCAUCUCAUCUGAGCAGCAGAUCUGGAAACAGGCUGGAGCUAGAAAUACAGACGGAGCCCUUUGGUUCAGCCUGAGAUCCCUUCUCUGCUGUAGACUUUCGACUUUCGGGAUUAUAACAUGGUAGAACUGAUUGAUGGGCAGGGGUCUUGUCAUGGGAGGUAGAGGUACCCAGAGUCCUUACCGGAAUCCACAGGAUGUGGGAUUCUUCUCUUGGCUGAUGCUGCUCAGUGGUGGUUCUUUCUUGUGUUUUACCAGAUUUUCUCUUGUGUCGGGGGCAGCCUGCAUGCUUUUCCUUGUGGCUAAUCUCCUGGGGCAAGUAUACCAGGUUCACGUGGAUAAAGGAGGGACUAGAGCUUCUGAAAGCAUAUUCCGCCUAUGGGACCACUCACUGCUCUUUGUAUUCAAAACACCAUCUUCCCGGAAAAACAAAGCUGGACCCUACCGGUUUGGGAGUCUGAUGCAGUGGACCCCCCAAGAACACUAAGCAAAGCUGUCAUUUACUUGUAUGGUCUUGAAUAUAAAUGUGAAAGCUGUUGGGACUUUCACAGUGAGAUGCGCAUCUGGCUGGUGUGGACAUGCUGAAGAGCCUGUUUCUAGAGGCAGAGCUGGGCCAGCGGCUUCCAGGCUUGGCAGAUGGCUUCCUGAUGCUUGCACUAGGAACGGCUGCCUUGGUGGUCCACUUCUGCAGCCCAGCUUUGGGAGCUGCUCCCGAAGAUGCAGCCCAGAGUCUGUUUCUUCAGCUUUCCAAAUAUUUCUAAUUAUUUUGCUGUCUCACCUCGAAAUCAGCUUGGAAGAUAAGUUGUAGAAGAAAAGAGACUACUGGGCACAGACACCUGGACUCUGACCCUGGUUCAGUCACCUAUUGGCCAUUUGACUCUAACAUCAUCUCACUAAACAGAGCUUUGUUCAUCAGUAAAAUAUUGAGACAAUAUUUUUUCUUGGACUGUUUCAUUAGAAUAUUAAACACACCACAUAUCACAUGCAUGGCUUAUAGUAGGAAUUAAGUAUUGAUUUGUCUGUGAUAAC